GGCCCAGAUCGUUUACCGUGAAAAAAUUAGAGUGUUCAAAGCAGGCAGAUCCAAUUUUCUGCCACCGAAUACAUUAGCAUGGGAUAAUGGAAUAGGACCCUGUCCUCCUAUUUUCAGUUGGUUUUGGCAGCGCGAGGACUAGGGUAAUGAUUAAUAGGGAUAGUUGGGGGCAUUAAUAUUUAAUUGUCAGAGGUGAAAUUCUUGGAUUUAUGAAAGAUUAACUUCUGCGAAAGCAUCUGCCAAGGAUGUUUUCAUUAAUCAAGAACGAAAGUUAGGGGAUCGAAGACGAUCAGAUACCGUCGUAGUCUUAACCAUAAACGAUGCCGACCAGCGAUUAGGAGACGUUGAAUACAAAACACCACCAUCGGCGCGGUCGUCCUUGGCGUCUGUCCCUUUCAACGGGGGCAGGCGCGAGGGCGGUUUAGCCCGGUGGCACCGGUGAAUGACUCCCUAGCAGCUUGUGAGAA
rnacentral:rRNA from 4 species